AAGUCGUAACAAGGUUUCCGUAGGUGAACCUGCGGAAGGAUCAUUAUUACGUAUCCAACGUAUAAACCAAACGUGAACUGUUUCCGCUCACUGGUCGGAGUUAAUGUUCUGGAUCGCGCUCUACAUGGCAGUCCGAGUGAUGAUGGACUGCUGCGAUCUGUUCGCCAACCAACGCUUUACUGUUGUUGACUUGGGACUUCCCUGUGAGUUGGUUAUUCUUUAAUCAUCACAAUUUGUACCCAAUUAUAAACCCAUUGUAACCUUAUGUUGAACUGAACUAUGUUUCCACUUGGCUGAGACCGCUUGACCUCUUUGUGAGUCGCGGUUUCGGCUUUGGAAAUAAUAUUUUACGAAAUUACGAACAACUCUUAGCAACGGAUAUCUUGGCUCUC
rnacentral:misc_RNA from 1 species